rnacentral:tRNA from 1 species
GGAUCGGUAGCUCAAUUCGGUAGAGCACCUGGUUGAAGCCCAGGGCGUGCAGGGUCGGAACCUGCCCGAUCCACCA